AUUUUAAUUUUACUAACAUAUCUUUCAAUUUAUCGGGUUUGAGUCCGUCAACAAUAUUUUGACUUUAAAAUUUACGCUAAUAAGUUACUUUAAUAAAAUUAAUAGUUGUGAAAAUUGCAUAAGAUAUAUUAUACCUAAACAUGUAAAGAUGAACAAUAAAUUCAACUUUUGAUUUCAAAUUGUCGUUGACCAACUCAAAUCAAACAAAUUAAAUGGUUGAGUGAUAAAAUCAAAAUUUUGAAAGAUUGGAUAGCAUUU
rnacentral:lncRNA from 1 species